GAGCUGCAGACUGGAGUUGCUUCUAUUCAUCCAUCUUGGAAUGGAAGAAAGUUCCUAUAUACCUUACAUCUUGUAAAGGUGAUCAAGAUGGCUGACCAGAUGCAGGUAGCAUGGCCUUCUUCGUGGAGAGGAACUCCAUUUUAAACAGAUUAUCUAGGAGAGAAUGCUGGAAUUCAUCAGAGAAGAGAAGGGAUUCAACAGAGAAAAGAAGGGAAGCACAGGAAGGCAAUUAAAAAAACUUGAACAAGCUACUGCUACACAAGAUUUGCAGAUAUCAAUGAAAGGACACAGGAAACAUGAAAAAGGAGAAAAAUGUGACAUCAUCAAAGGACCACAAUUGUCCAGCAACAGAUCCCAAUCAAAAAGAAUCCCUCAAUAUGCCAGAUAAAGAAUUCAAAAUACUGAUUUUAUAAAGCCCUACAAGAUGCAAGAGAAAUUUGAAAAUCAAUACAAAGAAUUAGAAAAUCAGUCCAGGAAAUGAAUGAGAAAUUUACCUAGAUAAAUAACUUAAAAAAAAAAACAAGCAGAAACUCUUGAACUAAAAAAAUUCAAUGAAGGGAAUACAGAAUAUAUUCAAAAGCUUCAAUAGUAGACUGGACCAAGCAGAAGAAAGAACCUCAGAACAUGGCUGGGUGCAGUGGCUCAUGCCUGUAAUCCCAGCACUUUGGAAGACCAAGGUAGGUGGAUUCCUUGAGGUCAGAGUUCAAGGCCAGUUUGGGCAACAUAGUGAAACCCUAUCUCUAAAAUUAGAAGAAAAAAAAAGAAUCUAAGAACUUGAAGACAGGUCUUUUGAAAUGUCCUGUCUGACAAAAUAAAGAAAAAUAAAUAAAAAAGAAUCAUCAAAGACUUUGAGAUAUCUGGGACUACAUAGUGUGACCAAACUUAUGCAUUUUUGGUAUUUCCAAGGGGGAAGAGAGAUUUUAAAAAAUUAGAACACCUAUUUUUAGGAAGUAAUUGAUGAAAACUUCCACAUCUAGCAAGAGAGUUAGACAUCCAGCUACAGAGCCCCAGCAAAUACAUUGCAAAAAGAACUUCACAUAAUAGUACAUUUAGAAAGUCUAAAGUCAAGAAGAAAGAAAGAAUUUUAAAAUUAGCAAGAGAAAAGCAUCUAGUUACCUAUUAAGAAAACUCAUCAGACUAACAGCAGACUUUUCAGUGGAAACCUUACAGGCUAGAAAAGAAGAGAAUGGCAUUUCCAACUGCUGAAAGAAAAGUACUGUCAGCCAAAAAUUUUAUGUUCUGGCAGAAUAAGCUUCAUAAAUGAAGGAGAAAUAAAAUCUUUUCUAGAGAAGCAAAUGGUGAGUAAACUUGUCAACACUAGCCUGUUCCUAUGGGAGAUGCUCAAAUGGGUCUUAAAUAUGGAAAUGAAAGGUCAACACUCAGCGUCAUGAAAACACACAGAAAAAUAAAACUCACAUUUCUUAUAAAAACAACCUCAUACAUGAGGAAGAGAAAAGAAUCAAAUGGCAACAUGGGAGAAUCUCAUCAAACCACAAUGACAAAAAGAGAAAAAGAAAGAAACAAAUAAUUUAUCACAUAAAACAACUUAAAAACAAUUAACAAUAUGACAAGAAUAAAGCCUUGCAUAUCAAUAUUAACCUUGAAUAAAUGGAUUAAAUGCUUCACUUACAAGAUAUGUAUUGGCGGAAUACUUUAAACAACA
rnacentral:lncRNA from 10 species